UGAGGAAUAUUGGUCAAUGGGCGUUAGCCUGAACCAGCCAAGUAGCGUGAAGGAUGAAGGCUCUAUGGGUCGUAAACUUCUUUUAUAUAAGAAUAAAGUGCAGUAUGUAUACUGUUUUGUAUGUAUUAUAUGAAUAAGGAUCGGCUAACUCCGUGCCAGCAGCCGCGGUAAUACGGAGGAUCCGAGCGUUAUCCGGAUUUAUUGGGUUUAAAGGGAGCGUAGGUGGACUGGUAAGUCAGUUGUGAAAGUUUGCGGCUCAACCGUAAAAUUGCAGUUGAUACUGUCAGUCUUGAGUACAGUAGAGGUGGGCGGAAUUCGUGGUGUAGCGGUGAAAUGCUUAGAUAUCACGAAGAACUCCGAUUGCGAAGGCAGCUCACUGGACUGCAACUGACACUGAUGCUCGAAAGUGUGGGUAUCAAACAGGAUUAGAUACCCUGGUA
rnacentral:rRNA from 1 species